AUCCUUUUCCAUUUUAUAAGAAUGAUGAUUGGGUGCUCACAUGUUUGUGUGACAUGGUCCUCCUUCAAUCUUAUUACACACUUGACACAUUCCCAUCUGAUG